GGUUUCAUAACUCAAUUUGUUCUUAAAGACCUUUCUAUUUCUCUCCGUUCCAAUUCAAGACCCUUUUGAUUCUUCCUCACCUUUUGUCGCCACUGUUGCUCUAAAACUUUGAUGGGUUCUCUCUAAUUCCAACUCUUCUGCAUGGGGUCUUUCUGGAGCUGCUGAGCUUUUUGACUUGAGGGGGCUCAAAGCAAUUAAUAUUCAAGAUGAGGACAGGAUAUCCAUCAAUCCAUCAUCUUGAACUGAGGAGAAUAUUUCAGAUGUUGAAAAUUUCAAUACUGAACUGAUAAAGCUAACUGAAGCUUCCAUGCCACGCGAAUUGAAUAUCAAGCAUAAGACAAAGUAAGAUGAGGAGAGCAUUAAGGGGAAGGUUGGUUGGUAUCUAAAGAUCUGAGGGUUGAAGAAGGUUAGCUGGUAUCGCUGGGCUGAGUUAAGCUUGCUAUCCUUAAGAUAAUGGCACCUUCUACGCGAAGACCUUCAUCUCAAGCAGUAGCAAUGGCCAAAAGAAUG
rnacentral:lncRNA from 1 species